CUCUAAACUUUUGGUGUGAUUUUAUUGUUCUUUCAUUUUCUUUGCACUCCAGUGUUGUGAGCUGAUAGACCGAUGUGACACCGAAGCCCAACAGUGACAAAGACCUUCAAAAGAAGAUGAAAAGUAAACUCAACAUUCACAAGGAGAAGCCUGGAAGAACGAACAUGCACCUGUUCCUGCAGAGAUGGACCCCAAUGAAUCCCAAGAGUCAAGAUGGUGGCCGUAAUGCUCAGGAACUCUGGUUGAUUGUACAUGGGCAUUACUCAGCCACCAAAGCCUCCAUGCUGCAGAAGAUGAGUGCAUACAGAAGGAAGAGAGGAAGAGGAGGGUCCAACCAGGGAGCUGUGGCGAGGAGGAAACCAUGCAGACUUACGCAGUCCGUGUCCUUCAAACAUUUCAUAGGCUGUGUAAAACAUCUGAGUCUGUGAGACCUCUGCAGACGAAGGGAGGAAGGGAGGGGUACAGGUAAACUGACAGGCGGGACUUUUGGUUGAAACAGCAGUUUACCGUUACCACCCUCAGAGACCACACAGUCCAUCGUCCUCUGCGAAGACUGGCAUGGUUUUACACCACGUUACUCAUAAAACCACCACAAACACAAUGAGAAUGUCCAGAACAAAAGACAAACUGAAGGUUUACAUGCAGCUUAGAAAAAAAAGACGGAUUUCUUCUUAACAAAAAAAA